AUGCUGGAGGUAUCAGAAGUGCGAAUGCUGACAUAAGUAACGAUAAAGCGGGUGAAAAGCCCGCUCGCCGGAAGACCAAGGGUUCCUGUCCAACGUUAAUCGGGGCAGGGUGAGUCGACCCCUAAGGCGAGGCCGAAAGGCGUAGUCGAUGGGAAACAGGUUAAUAUUCCUGUACUUGGUGUUACUGCGAAGGGGGGACGGAGAAGGCUAUGUUGGCCGGGCGACGGUUGUCCCGGUUUAAGCGUGUAGGCUGGUUUUCCAGGCAAAUCCGGAAAAUCAAGGCUGAGGCGUGAUGACGAGGCACUACGGUGCUGAAGCAACAAAUGCCCUGCUUCCAGGAAAAGCCUCUAAGCAUCAGGUAACAUCAAAUCGUACCCCAAACCGACACAGGUGGUCAGGUAGAGAAUACCAAGGCGCUUGAGAGAACUCGGGUGAAGGAACUAGGCAAAAUGGUGCCGUAACUUCGGGAGAAGGCACGCUGAUAUGUAGGUGAAGUCCCUCGCGGAUGGAGCUGAAAUCAGUCGAAGAUACCAGCUGGCUGCAACUGUUUAUUAAAAACACAGCACUGUGCAAACACGAAAGUGGACGUAUACGGUGUGACGCCUGCCCGGUGCCGGAAGGUUAAUUGAUGGGGUCAGCGCAAGCGAAGCUCUUGAUCGAAGCCCCGGUAAACGGCGGCCGUAACUAUAACGGUCCUAAGGUAGCGAAAUUCCUUGUCGGGUAAGUUCCGACCUGCACGAAUGGCGUAAUGAUGGCCAGGCUGUCUCCACCCGAGACUCAGUGAAAUUGAACUCGCUGUGAAGAUGCAGUGUACCCGCGGCAAGACGGAAAGACCCCGUGAACCUUUACUAUAGCUUGACACUGAACAUUGAGCCUUGAUGUGUAGGAUAGGUGGGAGGCUUUGAAGUGUGGACGCCAGUCUGCAUGGAGCCGACCUUGAAAUACCACCCUUUAAUGUUUGAUGUUCUAACGUUGACCCGUAAUCCGGGUUGCGGACAGUGUCUGGUGGGUAGUUUGACUGGGGCGGUCUCCUCCUAAAGAGUAACGGAGGAGCACGAAGGUUGGCUAAUCCUGGUCGGACAUCAGGAGGUUAGUGCAAUGGCAUAAGCCAGCUUGACUGCGAGCGUGACGGCGCGAGCAGGUGCGAAAGCAGGUCAUAGUGAUCCGGUGGUUCUGAAUGGAAGGGCCAUCGCUCAACGGAUAAAAGGUACUCCGGGGAUAACAGGCUGAUACCGCCCAAGAGUUCAUAUCGACGGCGGUGUUUGGCACCUCGAUGUCGGCUCAUCACAUCCUGGGGCUGAAGUAGGUCCCAAGGGUAUGGCUGUUCGCCAUUUAAAGUGGUACGCGAGCUGGGUUUAGAACGUCGUGAGACAGUUCGGUCCCUAUCUGCCGUGGGCGCUGGAGAACUGAGGGGGGCUGCUCCUAGUACGAGAGGACCGGAGUGGACGCAUCACUGGUGUUCGGGUUGUCAUGCCAAUGGCACUGCCCGGUAGCUAAAUGCGGAAGAGAUAAGUGCUGAAAGCAUCUAAGCACGAAACUUGCCCCGAGAUGAGUUCUCCCUGACUCCUUGAGAGUCCUGAAGGAACGUUGAAGACGACGACG
rnacentral:rRNA from 1 species